UACGUAGGGGGCAAGCGUUGUCCGGAUUUAUUGGGCGUAAAGAGCGUGUAGGCGGCUUGGUAGGUCUCGCGUCAAAACCUGAGGCUCAACCUCAGUUCGCGUGGGAAACCACCUAGCUAGAGUCCGGAAGAGGAGAACGGAAUUCCCAGUGUAGCGGUGAAAUGCGCAGAUAUCGGGAGGAACACCAGUAGCGAAGGCGGCUCGCUGGGCCAUUCCUGACGCUGAGACGCGAAAGCUAGGGGAGCGAACAGG
rnacentral:rRNA from 1 species